rnacentral:lncRNA from 1 species
GAAGGUUUUCCAUGCGUGGCAUAUUUUAUAUAUGAUUUAAGCAAGUUUAAGGAAAGGUUUCACUUUAACAAGCACAAAGCAUGAGAAAACAUGACAUUGGAUUCGGUUACAAAUAAAGUAACAUCACAGCAGCGCCUGAAAUGGAGGGAUCUAAUAAGGAGUUAGCAGAUGCACUCAUGUUCAGUGGAUCCUGGAACUGGCAGUUUCCGUUUAGUGUUUGACUGUUUUCAUGCCUACCCAUUUCCAGAUCAAGCCUUAACUAGCAGUAUCUACUUAUCAUCGUCGCCAGGUUUGUUCCCAAACAUAUAUAGUCAUUCCUUGCUUCUGUAUAGCCCACAAAACUGCAAUGUGGAGAACCUGCCACUGUUUACUUCCAACUGUAUCUCUAAUGUACUCAGGACAAGCUAUCAGGAGCUCAGUUAUAGAUUGCACACUGUCAAGAUGUCCUUCAAUGUCGAUGCUUUCCUCGAGCAAUCUGUUCCAGAUCAGAUGAGCAUAGGUACGCACAGUUGAUAAAAAGAUGUGAAGUCAUCUCCUGAACUGAGUUAGACAUGGCAUAAUUAGGGAUUAACAACCUUUCCUUUUACAAGCAGUGUAUCAGUCAUUUGAAGUCUGUAGUGCGCCUAAAUUAUCUUCGUGCAACGAUAUAAUAGCAAUCUAUUAUCUAGUAGACCUUUUUAAUUCAAUAAUUUGAGAUCUUGAAUAUUUCAAAAACAUUUGUGUUUAUGUGUGUGCUAAUCUCACCUGAUAUCCUCCGAUGUCUUUGCAUUUACACAGAAGGAAUAGAAAUUGGUGUCGAUGUUGGACACAAGACUCCUUUACCUCCCAUUUCAAAUGAGCAUAGCCCACCAAAGGAAACUCGGAGGGCAAGCUACACUCAAUGGAGAGAUCCAAAAGUAUUGUGUCCGUCACCGACACCAAUUGAGUUUCCCUAACCAUAAAAGAAGAUGGCUGAGCCUGAGCAAGCAAAAGGAAGUAGGAUUGUAGCGAGAAGCUUAUGCGCGACACAAGUUUGAUAUAUAGUCUGGGGACUGGAGUAGUGUGUGAGUGUACUAGUAAGUACUAACCAUAACAACUAUGUAGUACAAGUUAACAGAAGUACAAAAUAACUUGACAUUAAUGAAGAUCUGUUAGUGAGAGAGUAUAGUAUAUAUUAGUAGAAGACUUGUGUCUUUUUAUUUGAACACAGCGAUAAUCAUGCCACAGAUCAGACUAUAACUUGACAUUAAUAUAAUCAUCCACUGAUCGUACUCUAAUUACUCUUCCAAUGCAUAAAUAAUACAUGAGAAAUCCAACUGAGGCCUUCAGCACACAACUGUGGUAUUCACCUACUAAAUAGCUUUAGUGAAAUUUCAAUGCUCAGUUUAAUGUACAUCACGUACCUGUAACACACAUGCCCAUACGGUGACAGCAAAGUUUACAGCCAACAAAGAAAAAGAUCUUCAUAAUGCUGCUAAAUAAGUUUUAACGAGCUUCAUCCGCACUCCAAGGACAUCAC